AGUGCUACGCUGUUAGAACAAUUCAUCGGUGCAUUCAAGUGUUACCUAUUAUAAGCUGCCAAAAGACCAAGCAGUGCGAAGCUCUUGGCUGACAGUGGUGCCUGCUAAUUUCCACUGCAAGGAUUUCGUCCACGAAUGUUAUCAUAGGUUACGCGCGACUCCAGAGGCAAUUUGGAAUCUCGGCACGAAAUCGUCUGAUGAAAAUCCGAGGUGCCCGACGCAUAACAUUUUGAACGUGCCACGGAGGAUCAAGGCAAAAAACGAGAGCAAAAAAUGGUGCACGCUGAAGGCGGAAAUGAAGCAUGAUCUGGCUUGCAUCUGGUCAUGAAGAAAUUGCUGACACGUUAGUUGCAGUCCACCUCCACCAACAGACAUUUUGACACCACUUUUAAAUCUGCCCUCAAAGUUACAACCUGUGCUUCGAGGGUGGAAAACAAAGAUCGCCAUUCCGAUUAGCUGCUAUCUCCCAGUUCAAGCACUUUUGUGUCUGGACACUGGUU